rnacentral:rRNA from 1 species
AUAAUGGGUCAGCGACUUAUAUUCUGUAGCAAGGUUAACCGAAUAGGGGAGCCGAAGGGAAACCGAGUCUUAACUGGGCGUUAAGUUGCAGGGUAUAGACCCGAAACCCGGUGAUCUAGCCAUGGGCAGGUUGAAGGUUGGGUAACACUAACUGGAGGACCGAACCGACUAAUGUUGAAAAAUUAGCGGAUGACUUGUGGCUGGGGGUGAAAGGCCAAUCAAACCGGGAGAUAGCUGGUUCUCCCCGAAAGCUAUUUAGGUAGCGCCUCGUGAAUUCAUCUCCGGGGGUAGAGCACUGUUUCGGCAAGGGGGUCAUCCCGACUUACCAACCCGAUGCAAACUGCGAAUACCGGAGAAUGUUAUCACGGGAGACACACGGCGGGUGCUAACGUCCGUCGUGAAGAGGGAAACAACCCAGACCGCCAGCUAAGGUCCCAAAGUCAUGGUUAAGUGGGAAACGAUGUGGGAAGGCCCAGACAGCCAGGAUGUUGGCUUAGAAGCAGCCAUCAUUUAAAGAAAGCGUAAUAGCUCACUGGUCGAGUCGGCCUGCGCGGAAGAUGUAACGGGGCUAAACCAUGCACCGAAGCUGCGGCAGCGACGCUGAUGCGUUGUUGGGUAGGGGAGCGUUCUGUAAGCCUGCGAAGGUGUGCUGUGAGGCAUGCUGGAGGUAUCAGAAGUGCGAAUGCUGACAUAAGUAACGAUAAAGCGGGUGAAAAGCCCGCUCGCCGGAAGACCAAGGGUUCCUGUCCAACGUUAAUCGGGGCAGGGUGAGUCGACCCCUAAGGCGAGGCCGAAAGGCGUAGUCGAUGGGAAACAGGUUAAUAUUCCUGUACUUGGUGUUACUGCGAAGGGGGGACGGAGAAGGCUAUGUUGGCCGGGCGACGGUUGUCCCGGUUUAAGCGUGUAGGCUGGUUUUCCAGGCAAAUCCGGAAAAUCAAGGCUGAGGCGUGAUGACGAGGCACUGCGGUGCUGAAGCAACAAAUGCCCUGCUUCCAGGAAAAGCCUCUAAGCAUCAGGUAACAUCAAAUCGUACCCCAAACCGACACAGGUGGUCAGGUAGAGAAUACCAAGGCGCUUGAGAGAACUCGGGUGAAGGAACUAGGCAAAAUGGUGCCGUAACUUCGGGAGAAGGCACGCUGAUAUGUAGGUGAAGUCCCUCGCGGAUGGAGCUGAAAUCAGUCGAAGAUACCAGCUGGCUGCAACUGUUUAUUAAAAACACAGCACUGUGCAAACACGAAAGUGGACGUAUACGGUGUGACGCCUGCCCGGUGCCGGAAGGUUAAUUGAUGGGGUUAGCGCAAGCGAAGCUCUUGAUCGAAGCCCCGGUAAACGGCGGCCGUAACUAUAACGGUCCUAAGGUAGCGAAAUUCCUUGUCGGGUAAGUUCCGACCUGCACGAAUGGCGUAAUGAUGGCCAGGCUGUCUCCACCCGAGACUCAGUGAAAUUGAACUCGCUGUGAAGAUGCAGUGUACCCGCGGCAAGACGGAAAGACCCCGUGAACCUUUACUAUAGCUUGACACUGAACAUUGAGCCUUGAUGUGUAGGAUAGGUGGGAGGCUUUGAAGUGUGGACGCCAGUCUGCAUGGAGCCGACCUUGAAAUACCACCCUUUAAUGUUUGAUGUUCUAACGUUGACCCGUAAUCCGGGUUGCGGACAGUGUCUGGUGGGUAGUUUGACUGGGGCGGUCUCCUCCUAAAGAGUAACGGAGGAGCACGAAGGUUGGCUAAUCCUGGUCGGACAUCAGGAGGUUAGUGCAAUGGCAUAAGCCAGCUUGACUGCGAGCGUGACGGCGCGAGCAGGUGCGAAAGCAGGUCAUAGUGAUCCGGUGGUUCUGAAUGGAAGGGCCAUCGCUCAACGGAUAAAAGGUACUCCGGGGAUAACAGGCUGAUACCGCCCAAGAGUUCAUAUCGACGGCGGUGUUUGGCACCUCGAUGUCGGCUCAUCACAUCCUGGGGCUGAAGUAGGUCCCAAGGGUAUGGCUGUUCGCCAUUUAAAGUGGUACGCGAGCUGGGUUUAGAACGUCGUGAGACAGU